UCUUAUUUAACUAAACUUAUAACACAUAUAUUUGUAACAUUCUAGCUACUAAUAAUACUAAUUAUAAUUAGUGGGUAGAAUUACUAGAAUAAAGAAGAAAUUGUCGCAUUGUUUUUAUCGCAUUGUUUUGAUGUUUAUAAUCAACAAGGAGUGAUUUUUCCACCUACGACGACUUCAUUAGGGCCAUCCGGGAUGGAAUAAGGAGAGCCAAAAAUAAAAAUUAUAAGGAAAAAUCCAAAAAAAACAAAGAAAAUU
rnacentral:sRNA from 1 species